rnacentral:rRNA from 1 species
UUAAGCGACUAAGCGUACACGGUGGAUGCCCUGGCAGUCAGAGGCGAUGAAGGACGUGCUAAUCUGCGAAAAGCGUCGGUAAGGUGAUAUGAACCGUUACAGCCGGCGAUGUCCGAAUGGGGAAACCCAGUGCAAUUCGUUGCACUAUCGUUAACUGAAUACAUAGGUUAACGAGGCGAACCGGGGGAACUGAAACAUCUAAGUACCCCGAGGAAAAGAAAUCAACCGAGAUUCCCCCAGUAGCGGCGAGCGAACGGGGAGCAGCCCAGAGUCUGAAUCAGCUUGUGUGUUAGUGGAACGGUCUGGAAAGUCCGACGGUACAGGGUGAUAGUCCCGUACACCAAAAUGCACAGGUUGUGAACUCGAAGAGUAGGGCGGGACACGUGGUAUCCUGUCUGAAUAUGGGGGGACCAUCCUCCAAGGCUAAAUACUCCUGACUGACCGAUAGUGAACCAGUACCGUGAGGGAAAGGCGAAAAGAACCCCGGCGAGGGGAGUGAAAAAGAACCUGAAACCGUGUACGUACAAGCAGUGGGAGCACCUUCGGGUGUGACUGCGUACCUUUUGUAUAAUGGGUCAGCGACUUAUAUUCUGUAGCAAGGUUAACCGUAUAGGGGAGCCGCAGGGAAACCGAGUCUUAACUGGGCGUUAAGUUGCAGGGUAUAGACCCGAAACCCGGUGAUCUAGCCAUGGGCAGGUUGAAGGUUGGGUAACACUAACUGGAGGACCGAACCGACUAAUGUUGAAAAAUUAGCGGAUGACUUGUGGCUGGGGGUGAAAGGCCAAUCAAACCGGGAGAUAGCUGGUUCUCCCCGAAAGCUAUUUAGGUAGCGCCUCGUGAACUCAUCUUCGGGGGUAGAGCACUGUUUCGGCUAGGGGGUCAUCCCGACUUACCAACCCGAUGCAAACUACGAAUACCGAAGAAUGUUAUCACGGGAGACACACGGCGGGUGCUAACGUCCGUCGUGAAGAGGGAAACAACCCAGACCGCCAGCUAAGGUCCCAAAGUCAUGGUUAAGUGGGAAACGAUGUGGGAAGGCACAGACAGCCAGGAUGUUGGCUUAGAAGCAGCCAUCAUUUAAAGAAAGCGUAAUAGCUCACUGGUCGAGUCGGCCUGCGCGGAAGAUGUAACGGGGCUAAACCAUGCACCGAAGCUGCGGCAGCGACACUAUGUGUUGUUGGGUAGGGGAGCGUUCUGUAAGCCUGCGAAGGUGUGCUGUGAGGCAUGCUGGAGGUAUCAGAAGUGCGAAUGCUGACAUAAGUAACGAUAAAGCGGGUGAAAAGCCCGCUCGCCGGAAGACCAAGGGUUCCUGUCCAACGUUAAUCGGGGCAGGGUGAGUCGACCCCUAAGGCGAGGCCGAAAGGCGUAGUCGAUGGGAAACAGGUUAAUAUUCCUGUACUUGGUGUUACUGCGAAGGGGGGACGGAGAAGGCUAUGUUAGCCGGGCGACGGUUGUCCCGGUUUAAGCAUGUAGGCUGGUUGUCCAGGCAAAUCCGGAUAAUCAAGGCUGAGGUGUGAUGACGAGGCACUACGGUGCUGAAGUAACAAAUGCCCUGCUUCCAGGAAAAGCCUCUAAGCAUCAGGUAACAUUAAAUCGUACCCCAAACCGACACAGGUGGUCAGGUAGAGAAUACCAAGGCGCUUGAGAGAACUCGGGUGAAGGAACUAGGCAAAAUGGUGCCGUAACUUCGGGAGAAGGCACGCUGGUGUGUAGGUGAAGUCCCUGCGGAUGGAGCUGAGACCAGUCGAAGAUACCAGCUGGCUGCAACUGUUUAUUAAAAACACAGCACUGUGCAAACACGAAAGUGGACGUAUACGGUGUGACGCCUGCCCGGUGCCGGAAGGUUAAUUGAUGGGGUUAUCCGUAAGGAGAAGCUCUUGAUCGAAGCCCCGGUAAACGGCGGCCGUAACUAUAACGGUCCUAAGGUAGCGAAAUUCCUUGUCGGGUAAGUUCCGACCUGCACGAAUGGCGUAAUGAUGGCCAGGCUGUCUCCACCCGAGACUCAGUGAAAUUGAACUCGCUGUGAAGAUGCAGUGUACCCGCGGCAAGACGGAAAGACCCCGUGAACCUUUACUAUAGCUUGACACUGAACAUUGAGCCUUGAUGUGUAGGAUAGGUGGGAGGCUUUGAAGCGUGGACGCCAGUCUGCGUGGAGCCAACCUUGAAAUACCACCCUUUAAUGUUUGAUGUUCUAACGUUGGCCCCUUACCGGGGUUGCGGACAGUGUCUGGUGGGUAGUUUGACUGGGGCGGUCUCCUCCCAAAGCGUAACGGAGGAGCACGAAGGUUAGCUAAUCCUGGUCGGACAUCAGGAGGUUAGUGCAAUGGCAUAAGCUAGCUUGACUGCGAGCGUGACGGCGCGAGCAGGUGCGAAAGCAGGUCAUAGUGAUCCGGUGGUUCUGAAUGGAAGGGCCAUCGCUCAACGGAUAAAAGGUACUCCGGGGAUAACAGGCUGAUACCGCCCAAGAGUUCAUAUCGACGGCGGUGUUUGGCACCUCGAUGUCGGCUCAUCACAUCCUGGGGCUGAAGUAGGUCCCAAGGGUAUGGCUGUUCGCCAUUUAAAGUGGUACGCGAGCUGGGUUUAGAACGUCGUGAGACAGUUCGGUCCCUAUCUGCCGUGGGCGCUGGAGAAUUGAGGGGGGCUGCUCCUAGUACGAGAGGACCGGAGUGGACGCAUCACUGGUGUUCGGGUUGUCAUGCCAAUGGCACUGCCCGGUAGCUAAAUGCGGAAGAGAUAAGUGCUGAAAGCAUCUAAGCACGAAACUUGCCCCGAGAUGAGUUCUCCCUGAGACUNCUAUCGUUAACUGAAUACA